GAUCUUUUAAGAGCCACAUUGUAAGCCAGGAGCAGUACCAGUGUAGAGAGCAAAGCGCUCUAGACACGCCGAUGCUUGACGUGCCCAAGAACACAGCCAUUUACAGCCCGGAGAUGAGAAUGAGGAAGCCACAGGGAAUAGGCGAGUUGCCCAAGAUUGACGGCCAGUGUGGGGCAACCCAGGACUGAAAGGCAGGUCCUUCACCUACAGGUAAUGAUGUGGCUAGGCUAGAUUUUGUAACAUGGAGAGAAUAUGGCAUAGUCUUCAUUUUAAUUCAAAACCAACCAAUGAGGAGACAGAGGACAUACCCAAGAUCAGAG